rnacentral:lncRNA from 1 species
CUGAAGUUGUGCUGUGUACUACUCCCUUCACAGAACUGAGCAAAUUGGCUCUAACCAGAAUAGAAAGAGUGGGAGGCCCCAGAAACAGACACCUCACAAGUCCUCAACUAGCAGCUUCAUUAAACAGUACCCACAAAACACCAGUCUCAACGUCAACAGUAAAGAGGUGACUCCGGGAUGCGGGCCUUCUUCUUCUUGGUCAACCAACAGCCUAACGACCAAACAAUCAACCAGUCGAGUCAGCCCUAAACUGUUGUUGGUAUUUACUUCAUAUAAAUGUGUGUGUGAGCUGCACUGUAUGUCCCACCCAGACGCAUCCCGUUGGAUCAUCCCCCCCUGUGUUCUCGUGGCUCCAGGUGGAGGGGGGCUUGUGCGAGGAGGAGAUGGGGCGCUCCUUCAACUAUGGCCUUGGGGCUGUGCUGGUGGUGGCCUUUCCGGACGCCCAGAGGGUUCUGAGGCAGCUCCAAGCCCAUGAGGAUGCGUGGAUCGUGGGCUCGUUGGCCCACAAGCAGCCUGGUAUAGAGCUACAGCUCCCAUCAUGGAUGCCAGAAAGGCAGACACCACCCCAGAGCCACUGCCCAGCUCUUGACACACAGAGGGGCUGGAGAAGACUGUCAAAGGUCAGUAACUAUUGUUGACUAGUAACAGGUAUCAGGGUGGUGUUCAUUAGGGCAUGCAACAGAAAGCAAAACUUCUUAUUGGACCAGUCCAGGCAGUACCUUCCCUUUCAAUCUGUUUUCUUCCAUUUGGUGCCUAAUGAACACAACCAAGGGUCAUUUUCGCUAGAUACAAAAUGGGGAGGGACUACCUGAACUUGUCCAAUAAGAAACACUAGUUUUGUUUCAAAACAUUUUGCUAUGUAAGCACUAAUGAAUACAACCCAGGUAUUGUAACAAGCUGCUCACCUAAUUAUCUUAAGUCUUGUCAGCAUCCUGGUCAAUGGCAUCUAUCAAAGGGAAGGAAUCCUGGGCUGGCUCAUACACAUCAGUGAAAGUCCCGCAUGGGAG